GGGCCCACCAGCUGAAGCACACCGCAGAGAGACUUCACCGCUGCUCUGUGUGUGAAGAGCUUCUUCACACCCUCAGGACUCAGGGAUCACCAGAGGUCUCACACAGGAGAGAAACCAUUCCAUUGCUCUGUGUGUGGAAGAGCUUCUCACGGCCUGGUCCCCUGAGAGAACACCAGCAGACUCACACGGGAGAUGGUGGACAGGUGGAGCGAGACCGCGGCAAGGACCCUGGUGACCGAUCGAGACCCAAACCCACAGAGUCCCUGGGUGAAACUCUGGGACUGAAAAU